AGCGAACGCUGGCGGCAGGCUUAACACAUGCAAGUCGAGCGGGCACUUCGUUGUCAGCUGCAGUCGCGUGAGUAACACGUGGGAACGUACCCUUUUGCUCGGAAUACCGCUUUGAAACUAGCGCUAAUACCGGAUACGCCCUUUUGGUGCAAGGUUUGCUGUCGAAGUAGCGGCCCGCGUCCUAUUAGCCUGUUGGGGGGGUAAUGGCCUAUCAAGGCUACGAUCAUUAGCUGGUCAGAGAGGAUGAGCAGCCACACUGAGAGUCGGAAGCGGUCCAGAAUACUACGGGAGGGGGGAGUGGGGAAUAUUGGAAAAUGGGGGCGAGCAUGAAGCAGCCAUGGCGGGUGAGUGAUGAAGGUGUUAGGGUAGUAAAGCACUUUUGUACGGGACGAUAAUGACGGUACCGAAAGAAUAAGCCCCGGCUAACUUCGUG
rnacentral:rRNA from 1 species